UAGAAAUGGCUACCACAUCCAAGGAUGGCAGCAGGCGCGCAAAUUAUCCACUCUCAGUACGAGGAGGUAGUGACGAAAAAUAACAAUGCGGGACUCAUCAGAGGCCUCGCAAUUGGAAUGAGCGCACUUUAAAUCGUUCGACGAGGAUCUAUUGGUGGGCAAGUCUGGUGCCAGCAGCCGCGGUAAUUCCAGCUCCAAUAGCGUAUAUUAAAGUUGUUGCAGUUAAAAAGCUCGUAGUUGGAUCUGGGGUUCGGGUCGGCGGUUUGCCGCUUCGGCGGCUACUGCCGUGCUCGACUCUUACUAGCCGGUGCGUCUUGCGGUGCUCUUCAUCGAGUGCCGUAGGAGCCUGGCAUGUUUACUUUGAAAAAAUUAGAGUGCUCAAAGCAGGCGAUUCCGCCUGAAUAGUGUUGCAUGGAAUAAUGGAAUAGGACCUCGGUUCUAUUUUGUUGAUUUUCGGAACUUGAGGUAAUGAUUAAGAGGGACGGUCGGGGGCAUUCGUAUUUCGGUGUUAGAGGUGAAAUUCUUGGAUCGCUGAAAGACGGACAAAUGCGAAAGCAUCUGCCAAGAACGUCUCCAUUAAUCAAGAACGAAAGUCAGAGGUUCGAAGACGAUCAGACACCGUCCUAGUUCUGACCAUAAACGAUGCCAACUAGCGAUCCGCAGUGGUUGCUAUAAACGGACUCUGCGAGCAGCUUCCGGGAAACCAAAGUGUUUGGGUUCCGGGGGAAGUAUGGUUGCAAAGCCGAAACUUAAGGGAAUUGACGGAAGGGCACCACCAGGAGUGGAGCCUGCGGCUUAAUUUGACAACACGGGGAAACUCACCCGGUCCGGACACUGUAAGGAUUGACAGAUCGAGAGCUCUUUCUUGAUUCGGUGGAUGGUGGUGCAUGGCCGUUCUUAGUUGGUGGAGUGAUUUGUCUGGUUAAUUCCGAUAACGAACGAGGCUCUAGCCUGCUAACUAGUUGCGCCGUGUUCAUACGCGGCUGUAGACUUCUUAGAGGGACAGGUGGCGUUUAGCCACACGAAAUUGAGCAAUAACAGGUCUGUGAUGCCCUUAGAUGUCCGGGGCCGCACGCGCGCUACACUGAAGGAGUCAGCGUGUGCUAUCCGGGCUCGGAAGAGUUCGGUAACCCGUUGAAACUCCUUCGUGCUUGGGAUUGUGGCUUGUAAUUAUCGCGCAUGAACGAGGAAUUCCCAGUAAGUGCAAGUCAUCAGCUUGCGCUGACUACGUCCCUGCCCUUUGUACACACCGCCCGUCGCUACUACCGAUUGAAUGGUUUAGCAAGGUACUCGGAUUGGUCUCGAUCUUGUACGAAAGUGCGGGAUCUGUGGCCGAGAAGAAGGCCAAACUUGAUCAUUUAGAGGAAGUAAAAGUCGUAACAAGGUU
rnacentral:rRNA from 1 species